GAUGAACGCUGGCGGCGUGCCUAAUACAUGCAAGUCGAGCGAACAGAUGAGGAGCUUGCUCCUCUGACGUUAGCGGCGGACGGGUGAGUAACACGUGGAUAACCUACCUAUAAGACUGGGAUAACUUCGGGAAACCGGAGCUAAUACCGGAUAAUAUAUUGAACCGCAUGGUUCAAUAGUGAAAGACGGUUUUGCUGUCACUUAUAGAUGGAUCCGCGCCGCAUUAGCUAGUUGUUAAGGUAACGGCUUAACAAGGCAACGAUGCGUAGCCGACCUGAGAGGGGGCUCGGCCACACUGGAACUGAGACACGGUCCAGACUCCUACGGGAGGCAGCAGUAGGGAAUCUUCCGCAAUGGGCGAAAGCCUGACGGAGCGACGCCGCGUGAGUGAUGAAGGUCUUCGGAUCGUAAAACUCUGUUAUUAGGGAAGAACAAAUGUGUAAGUAACUAUGCACGUCUUGACGGUACCUAAUCAGAGAGCCACGGCUAACUACGUG
rnacentral:rRNA from 1 species